rnacentral:lncRNA from 1 species
GGCAUUAUCCAGUCCUCCCAAGCAGCAGCUGUUCCGUGGGGAGCAGCUGAGAGAGAAAUGGAUUUUUCUGGUGUGAGAAAUGUGCUGCUGCCGAGUCUUCCUCUGCAAGAAGGUUAAAGCAGAGAGGGAAAUAGCUGCAGAUUUGGGGUGGAUCUACACUCAUGGUUUAUGAAGUUAAGGAAGGGUUAAAGAAUGAUUUUCAUAACGUAGAUAGACACAUUACGCUUUGCUUGUAACAUUAAUAAUGCUUGAUUAAAAUGUGACACCAGAAGGCACUGCAGAGCAACCAGGAACCAGCAGUAGGGAAACUGUGUUUGGACGGACAAAACAAGGUAAGAAACAUUUUUAAUUUACCAGUAUGCCCUGUGACGUUUUAGAACGAUAUAUCUAACAUCGUUCUGAUAAUGUUAAAAAGGUCAGUGCAGAUCCAGCCUUGCACUUCUUGCAAAUCUGUAAAAUAGAGCCCAUGUGUUUUGCAACUUCAUGGACACAGUUUUUCAAAAUGCAACUGUAUUUUUUUUUUUGUAAAGAAAUGCAACUGUAUUUUGAAGUCAUAAAUAACUGUAAGACAGGGCUUGCAGUUCCGCAGCACACUGGCCUUGUUUGUGUUCUGUGGGAUACUGGAGUACUUUUGCAGACCUAGGAGAGAUAAAGAAUGUUAGAUAGUUGGUUCCCCCUCCCCAAAGAAAAAUGUCUGUGAAGAAAAUGAAAGUGAAACUUGAGUGGAGUCAUUAAGACCUGUAUGCUUCUGUUUCCAUGGAAAAUAGGUGUGGUUUUAUAUUUGUGUGCAUGUGAAAGGUGUGUGAUUGUAUGUUGGUCUGGAUCUGCCCACAAUGGGGGCUGGCCCCACUCACUACUGGAAUGUGACCCCUGACAGCUUUCCACUAGUGUGAUUUUGUUCAUUUUCUUGUUUCAUAAAAUGUAUACGCUGCUUGAUUGUAAAAAAAGCCCUCAAAGCCGUUUACAAAAGAUAAAACGGUAAAAUCAAGAAAAAAUGAUUUUCAAUGAGACUCUUGGCAAAAUAAAUAAAUGCCCCCAUCCCUUUUAUAAUAUCAAUAUUUAUUGAUAACUUGUCCAAAGAUAUACAAAAGUUCAUACCCAAUACAACGUGUCAUUUUAUAAUACGCCAGAGUAAAAUAAACACUUCUAAAAUCUAAUCUAAAGAAGAAUAGAGGCAGAAAUAUGGGAAAAGGGAAAGAGAUGGGGGGGGGGAAUGAAUGGGGGGGGGGAAGAGAGAGAAAUGGAAAAAGAUCAAAAGUCCUCCGGUUCUUUGUCCUGCAGCUAAAUGUACUAUUCAUUCACACACAGACAUACAACUAUUUUAUAUAAGACAAUAUUUUUUCAGUCUUCAAAUCCAGAUAUUGCAAGUUCAUUUUCUCUUUCACCAAAAAGUCAUUAAGAAGUUUCCAAUCCUUAAUAAAUGCUAGUAAUGAUUUUUCUCUAAUUAAACACGUUAACUUUGCCAUCAUAGCUAAGUCCAGUAAUUUUAUCAACCAUUCCUUGGGGCUGUAACUUUACGUCUUUGUUUUUAGAGCCAUCUCUCCACUGUAAUCAUAGAUUGUGCCUCUCUCCUUUUACAUGGGGGCAGCUUAUCCACAGAAAAUGUCAACAACAACUCUUUGUUGUUGUUGUUUUUUAAAAACAAAUUCUGUGCAGAAUGUAGGUAGGUAGUUCAAGCAGCUGUUUGGGGAUUGCAGCCAUGAGCUAUUCAAACCAGGAGAUUACAGGAAAACCAAUGGCUGUUUGCACAGUGCUGUAGCCUGUAUAUUAGCCACUCAACAAAUUAUAUUUCUCCUGCUUUUAACUUUCCCUCCUCUCAUCAUGGAUCUCAGGAACGAUGGUGUCUAUGAAGGGAAGUCUGCCAUGCUCAGGAGUUAUGCAGCUUGGAAAUGAAAUUGUUCCAGUGAGUCAUCUUCCUGCUCCAAUACAGGAAAAAUAACAACAUUCCUUCAAAGAAGCAGCUGGAUGUUUGUGUGCCAGAAUCCCAGCGAUUAUGUCCUCUGCGUUCCAUCUUGAUCACUGACCACUGUCAAUGCUUAUGGAGAUGGGUGCCUUCAUAAUAUUAGUGGUUUAUUCAAACCAUCUUCUAAACUUGGUCUCCCUAUUGUUUUACUAGACAGCAGUGAGUCAGCACUAAAUCUGGUUGUACUUUUAAGCACCAGGAAAAAACUUUCCUCAUUGAGUAAGUUCAUUAGAUCAUCACCUCUCAGCCUAAGCUACCUAACAGGGUUGUUGUGAAGAUGCACAGGCAGAAUGGGAACCAUGCACACCACCUUAAGAUCCUUGGAGAAAAUGUAGGAAAUCAAUGUAAUAAAGAAACAAACAGAAAAUAAACUAGGAUUGCAGCUGGCUGGGUUGGCUCAUUUUGGAAAGGUGCCAUGCGCUCUUAAGUAAAUCACAAGUUUCUCAUUCAUAACAAUUUCUCAUGAGCAGAUAUGUGUGGCUAGCUUUCAAAUACAGUGGUACCUCAGGUUACAUACGCUUCAGGUUACAUACGCUUCAGGUUACAGACUCCGCUAACCCAGAAAUAGUGCUUCAGGUUAAGAACUUUGCUUCAGGAUGAGAACAGAAAUCGUGCUCCGGCGGCGCAGCAGCAGCAGGAGGCCCCAUUAGCUAAAGUGGUACCUCAGGUUAAGAACUGUUUCAGGUUAAGAACGGACCUCCGGAACGAAUUAAGUACUUAACCUGAGGAACCACUCUAGGAGCAAAUGAAGACUCAGUGAGGUUUGGCGGAAUAUGACCAAAACCAGACAACAACCUGAAGUGCCAUUUGUUUUCAGGCACUGUGCAUAGGAUAAGGUUAAAAAUAGAGCUUCCACUCCAUGGAAAUGGCUAAGGGUCUUUCUGAAACUCUUGGCUCUGCAAAUCAAUGACUAAGCAGAGAAGCUGGUGAAACCUUUAUGAAGACAGGCAGGCAAGUGGAGAGCUGCAAAGCUUCUCUGAUUUACUGAUUUGCUUCGUACACACCUGCUAAGAUCACUCAGAGGGCCCUGCAUUGCAUACAUAUUUUCAGGAUGGGACUCUAAAUCAAUUCCAGGUUUGCGUAUUCAUUUUGGACAGUCUAAGUUGAUCACAGUUUUCCAAUAUUUAAGAAGCUGCAUUUUUAAAAGGAUGGAGGGUAAGCAGGGCUGACCCAAUAUAUUUUGCUACCUGAGGCAAAGUGAAGGACCACACAUAUCUGCUAUUUGGGUCUCUGAAGCACAGAUUCACACAAAGCGGCAAAACGCUCUUGCAGGUUAUUAACAGGAUUUUUAUUUGAAGUGCAUAUGCAGAACAAAGGCACAGGGCGAUCAGUACGCAACCUGUACACAGUAGUCAGGGUGCGCCCCUUUAUAUAGAUUUGUAAAAUAUAAUACCACCUGAUCUCUUGUAAGUCACCUGAUUUCUUGUAAGUCACCUGAUUUCUGGGAAAUCGAAACUUAUAAUAAGUUCCUAUUACCAUAUAAGGUCUUGGUCUUCUCUCCCUCCUUCCUGCAACCUCCCUCAUCCUGGUAUUACAAGAAAUCCUUGUUCCUUAUCUCUAUCUGCCCAAGCUAGACAUUCCGAGAGGCCCAUUUGCAAUGUAACAUUUAAGCAUGUCCUUCAAUAAUAGAACAAUUAUAUUGUAAUAUGCUCCUUCAAAAGGACAAGAUGGCACCUUCUCCAUUCCACGUCCAGAAGGUAUCUGGACUGUUGGCUGACUCUUACUGUAGUGUCCUCCUUGUUUUCGAGUUUCCUCCCAAUGAGAGCAGUCGACCCAGAGCCCCCAAACCCAACCUUUCCUUCAGAAAGGCCUGAGUGAGUUCAGGUAUCUUAAUAUUAUAACAACAACAACAACAACAACAACAACAACAACAAUGUACAGCCAUGAUUGGUGAAGUUCAUGCAGAGAUGCUCAGAGUUCAAUGAGAGUUUGAUCCAGCAUGUGGCUUUCUUGAGAGCAGAAAGAGCAAGAACAACAAAAAGUAUAAUCUCUGUACUUUUAACCUCCAGCUUCCCAGCAUUUUGGAAGCCGCAAGGCAUUGUAACUCAGAUGGGUGAAUAGGUGGACCAUAAACAAUGAUCUCUGUUUCCAUAUUUACUUAAGAGUGUUAUACUUGGCAGCGCACGUUUCCACUGGCUGAGGGCUAAUUUCCUGAUAACACAACUGGGCGGUUAAUACAGGCUCCUUGAUGAACAUCUGAGCACGGUGUGAAUGGCUGUGGUCAAGGUUUGGGCCCAGGACUGGGAGAGGGCAGAAGAAGACAGAGCUGGAGCCCAGAGCUGCUCUGGAAAUUCUCCUAAACUGCCCUGGGUUUAUUAAAUUGUAGAAUUUAUUAAAUUUAUUUCUACUAUUGCAAAGGCCUUGUUGUGAGUUUUGCCGCUAUUGUAGAACUAUAUAGCUUGGUCAUUAACUAAUAUGAGAUGAUUAAUUUAUCAGCUCAGUUCCAGUGCAACAGCAUUAGCUAUCAAUAUGCAGGGCUCUAAAACAGGGAAACUUGUGGCCUUCCAGAUAUUACUGGACCCCAUACUGACUGAUUAUUGGACCUCAGCUCCCAUCAGCCAGCAUUGCCAGUUGUCAGGGAUGGGGAUACUUCAAGUCCAACAUCAUCACAGGUUCUCCCUGCAUGCUUUGGAGACUUAUUCAGAUUGGGUCCAGCUUGCCUUAGGCAACGCCUUCACCCCUAAUAUGCCUCUUUAGGAUGAUACGCUGAUCCAUGUUAUAUCCUUUUAUGGUAUGGACAGUCCUCCUGAAUGCUGUUGGACUCCAACUCCCAUCAGCCUCAGGUAGCAUCAUCAAAAGGGACUUGGAGUGAAAAAUAAUAAUAAAUAAAUUAGAAAGGUUACCACAACUGUUGGCUCCUGUAUUAUGGCAAUAUGUUUAUUUUAUGCAUUUGUUGCAAGUAUUUCUAGUCUGCCUUUCAAGAUAGAAAUUAUUCCAAGGUGGUCAAUGUUAUGUACUGAAGUUCUCACCCUGGGCCAGUAGGGGGAUACUGUAGAUAGUUAUGCAAAUAAGGGAUCGAAAGUGACGUUCAGUGAUUGGAUAGUUUUAGAAAAUUGUUACAGUUACGUUGUACUGGAGCUCUAUAUAAGCAGGCUGACUGAACCCUUCAGUUAGUUCUGUUCUGGCCUGUGAAUAAAUAAGAGCUGUUUG